UACGUAGGCAGCGAGCGUUGUUCGGAGUUACUGGGCGUAAAGAGCGUGUAGGUGGCUCGGUAAGUCCGCUGUGAAAGUCCAGGGCUCAACCCUGGAAAGCCGGUGGAAACUGUCGAGCUCGAGUCCGGAAGAGGCGAGUGGAAUUCCUGGUGUAGCGGUGAAAUGCGCAGAUAUCAGGAGGAACACCAAUGGCGAAGGCAGCUCGCUGGGACGGUACUGACACUGAGACGCGAAAGCGUGGGGAGCAAACAGG
rnacentral:rRNA from 1 species